UGUAGGGGCAGAAGAGUUAAGAAAAGCAACCUAGGGGCUGGGGAUUUGGCUCAGUGGCAGAGCGCUUACCUAGGAAGCACAAGGUCCUGGGUUCGGUCCCCAGCCCCGAGGGGAAAAAAAAAAAAAAAAAAAAAGCAACCUAGUCAAAACGUACAUCCCAGCCCGUCCCAGCCCGUCAGGGCUUUUCUCUUCCCUCCCAAGCCUCUGAAUAUCACAUCCUCGCUCAGAAAAACUGCAAACGACCAUAGAGUAAAGUUCUUUGAAUAGCACAAAGCAACCUUCCAUCCCUGGAAAGCAAACACUGCAUAGCCAGGGUUAGUGUGGCUGCUUACAACCACAAGGAACUGGGAUUGGCUUCGAUGUCCAUCAACAGAUGAACGGAUGCUGAGAAGACGGAACGGACUCAACGGAACUCUAUCAGCAAAAAGGAAAACGAAAAGGAAACACACAGGAAAAUGUUACAUGAAGCAAGCUCCUGCUUCCUGACCUGCUUGAGUUCCAGUCCUGACUUCCUUUGGUGAUGAACAGCGAUGUGGAAGUGUGAGCUGAAUAAAUUGUUCCUCCCCAA